CAAAUAUACACUCUUACUUGGACAAGACAAAAAGUCUUUUAUAGAGAGUUUUACUGCAUCAGUAGAUCAAAAAUUCAUCUCUUUGAUGUCAUUAAGCUCUGAUGGUUGUAUAUAUGAAGCCUUGAUACCAAUACGUCCAACUGACCCAGAAAAAAAUCAGAGCUUAGUUAGAUCACUGUCGCUCAAGGCUGUUGUGUCUGGUAAUGCUCCAAAUGGAGUUGCACUCACUGCCCUGGAUCAGGAUCACGUCACAGUCCUAGGAAGUCCACUAGCAGCUUCUAAGGAAUGCCUCUCUGUAUGGAACAUAAAAUUUCAAACACUACAGACUUCAAAAGAGUUACCACAAGGGACCAGUGGUCAACUCUGGUAUUAUGGGGAGAAUUUGUUUAUGCUACGUGGAAAAUCUCUAGCUGUGAUUCCAUACAACUGUGAAGUGUCAUCAUUAGUAGGUGCUCUUGGAAAACUCAAGCAUAGUCAAGAUCCAGGAACUCAUGUUGUGCCCCAUUUUGCAAACUGGGAAACACCUCAAGGAUGUGGACUUGGGUCCCAGAACUCAGAGCAGUUAAGAAGAAUUUUAAGGAGAUGAAAAAUUGAAGUGAGUUUACAGCCAGAGGGAUCACCAUCCAAACAACUUUUGUCAACCGCAAUGAAAGAUUCAGAAAAGCACAUUGAAGUAGAAGUAUGGAAAUUUUUGGCUCUGAAGCAGACACCUGACUUUCAUACUGUCACUGGGGACACAGUAACAGGACUUCUGGAAAAGGUGUAAAGCAGAACGAUUGUUUUAUCCCCGGAACUGUCUGAUGCAGCUUAUCCAAACGCAUGUGCUUUCUUACAGUUUGUGCCCUGACUUAAUGGAGAUUGCCUUAAAAAAGAAAGAUGUACAGGUGUUACAACUCUGUCUACAGCAGUUCCCUGACAUUCCUGAAUCGGUCACCUGUGCUUGCUUAAAAAUUUUCUUGAGCAUUGGUGAUGACAGUCUUCAAGAAACAGAUGUCAGUAUGGAGUCAGUUUUUGACUCUAGUAAUUCUGUACAUGAUGAGAAAAUGGAAGAGCAAACUGAAAUUCUUCAAAAUGGCUUCAAUCCUGAAGGAAGAUAAAUGCAAUAACUGUGGUCAAGAGUUAAAUAAAAAGCCCCAGGACAAAACAAAGGAGACCACUUCAUGCCCUGUGAUACCAAAAGGAGCAGCUCUACUUAAUGCAAUUCUUCAUUCAGCAUAUAGCGAAACAUUUCUUCUGCCUCAUUUGAAAAACAUCCCAGCACAGCAUACCAUGCUGUUUCUCAAGUAUUUGUAUUUCCUUUAUCUGAAGUGUAGCGAAAAUGCUACUAUGACUCUUCCUGGAAUAUACCCACCUACCUAGAACCAGAUUAUGGAUUGGAUAUGUCUACCUCUGGAUGCAAAUUUUACUGUUAUAGUAAUGAUGCCAGAAGCAAAGAGGCUACUGAUAAAUCUUUACAAGUUUGUAAAAUCUCAGAUAUCUGUUUAUUCCGAGCUCAACAAGAUUGAAGUAAGUUUUCGGGAGCUACAGAAAUUAAAUCAAGAAAAGAAUAAUAGAGGAUUAUAUUCAAUUAAAGUGCUGGAGCUCUUCUGAUAUUACCAAUUCUCCUUCAUAGACAUUUUAUAAAGCUCUUUUAUGUGAACUGUUGCUUCAUCCAGGGAAGAAUGGUGUUUUGUUUGCAACCAUCUCGGUGUCAAGAGAAACAUGUCAGUGAGUACCUGGACCAUCACUUAUUGAUGCUCCGGGGUAGGACUGCAGGUUUCACAUGAACCUAUUCUAGGUUGUGGACAUUGGUGUGCAGAGGUUCUGCAAUUUUUAAAAAAUAUGUAACUGGGUUGAUUUUAAGUAAAAUUAUUUGUGUAUUGAUAAAAGUCUAAUUUCUUAU